rnacentral:tRNA from 1 species
UAGAAAUACUAGUAAUAGUAGGGGCGGAUGAGCAG